CUUUCAAACCACAAAGACUGAGAAUAAAGGUAGGGCAAGGGUCAGCAAGGCAGGUCAGUCAUCAGAUGCUGGCUAAAGCCAGCCAGGGAAUCCUGAUAAAGCAGGAAAUGACUUUAGGAGGACACGACUCACAGGGCAGAAGGGGCAGACAGGGAGCCUGGCCCAAGCUGCUUCCUAUCCCUUUGUCCAGAGAAAACGUAAAUUUCUUUCUUUCUUUUGGAAAAAUUAAUUUUACAUGUGUGGAUAUCACGGGAUACCAGAGAGUCGGGUCUCAGUGGUGUGGGCCUCAGGGAUUGAACUCCGGUCUUCACACUUGGCAGCGCAUGUGGGAGUGUGUGGAGUAGAGGCUGUGCCAAAGCAUACAGGGAUGCCCAGGAGUGUAUAGAAAAGAGUGACUACUGGUGAGAGUUACACUUUAUCAGCACAAUAUCAAACUGGGGACUAUCAUUCAGGAUGCAGGCCCUGCCUGAUCUAUGGAGUUGGCAGGCAAGCUUAUGAAAUUUGAGGAAAUACUGAUGAAGUUAUUAGAGGGUGAUGCCAUUGUAGACCAUUGUAGAGCUUGCAACGUUAGUCCUGGAGCACCCCCCUUUGGGGGUGAAGAGUUUUCUGCAUAAUUUUUCAGCCACAGAGAUGCAGAAUGUGAAAAGGUGACGUGAUGUGUCAGCUAUGAAAACAUGGCUACAUUCUAAGCAAACACAGACUUUCCCCUGAUAUGUCUUCAGACUUCAACUCCCAAAUCCUGGGUGGAGAGAGGGAUGAUGGCUCUUGCGUCUAAAAUCACUCCAAUUUCCUUCUUGUUAAAUGUAUUGCGGCGGCAACACUGUAGAUCAGCAGCACCAAAGGAGGAAAGAAAAUCUGUGGACAAAAGGGUGCUGUACAACUGAACUGUCUGCUUAUACAUGCAAAUCGGUUUCUGGAUGCCAUGAAUGGAGAGAGAAAUAACUGGAAGGUGUUUUAACCCGUUUUUGGUUGCUGUACCAAAAUAUCCAAGAAUGGGUGCUG
rnacentral:lncRNA from 1 species